AAGAAGCAGCAGGGCAGUGAGUGUCUCCUGCUUGCUGGAAGAUGUAGUUUUAUAAAGACUCCCAGACCUUUUGUUAGAGGGCUGAAGGACUAAAAUCCCAGUAUACACAGGGGCCAGUGAUAGUGCGCAUCACCGGAGGAAGAGGGGGGACUGUGUGUGGCUCUCCUAGGCUUUCUGGGAGAUAUAUGUUCAUAAACACUCCCAGCCCUUUAGUCACAGGGCUGCAGGACUACAAUUCUAGCAUGCACCAGUCUCAGAGACAAGGCUAGAGAUGGGGUUGUGUGCACCUCCCUAGGCUUGCUGGGAAAUGUAUGCUUAUAAAUACUCCCAGCCCUUUGGUCAAGCAGCUGCAGGACUACAAUCCCAGCAUGCAGCAGGCUCCAGGGCUUUGCGCAGCUCUGGAAAGAGGAGCAGAGUGGUCCGCAUCCCACCUAGUCAUAUGCUGGGAGCUCUAGUCCAUUAACUGCUCUCAGCCUGUUUGUCAGUAGGCUUUAGAACUAUAAUCCCACCAUGUCCCAGGAUCUGGAGUACAUAGCCCUGGAGGGAGGGGCAAACUGGUGUUGACUUCUUGGUGUACAAAAUACUGUUGGACUCUGAAUCCAUGCCGACUCUUUGCCAAGGAUGGGUUCUUUCCAGAGCAUUGCAUCUUCUGCAGCUCAGGGCGCUGCCUUCUUUCCUAAACUGUUGGGGAAACUGUCCUGAUAUCCGAGACACUCUCCAUUGUGCCACAACCCUCUUUUUCUUCUGGCCAGAGCGCGUGCUCGACUGCUUUUGAGAGAAAUCUUCCACCUGGCCUGAUUAUGAACAGCUUCAGAGCUCUGUAGAGCAGUGAUCAAGACUGUGACUUCCUGGAAAUGUCAUUCUCAAUGGCGGUUUUUUCAUGAAUGUGAAAGUCGAAGCAUUAGGAAGGUUAAGUGUAGGGUUGCACAAAAUCUGCUAAAAGUAAAGGAGAAAAUCCCAUUUCCGAGGCAUGUGUCUUGUGAGCCAUUUUCAUUAACCCAUUAAAGUGGGCAAGCUCCAAAAUGCAACUGAAGCUGCUGACGAUUUAGGCAUUUUACAAUUGAAAUCAUCGGCCCAUCUCAAGUAGGGCCUGACUUGCCAGUGUCGUAGAGACACAAAUGGGAUCUGAUCCUUCAGGAACAGACAGCAUUCCAGCUUUGUGGGAAUGACUUUUAAAACGUGGAGUAGUUGGGGUCAUUUGAAACCUGUCUUCCGUAGGGACUUUUACUUCUAGAGAGUACGUGCAUUUUUAUUUUACCUGUCCUCAAGCUGAUGCUUUGCUCAUUUUAUUAAUAAAAAACACACUCUUGGGGGGAAGAUAUAAGAUGCUAAUGAGACAUGCAAUGUAUGCACAAAUAUGUUUAGCUGCUGCACAUGUGCACAGAAAAGACCAGGCAGAACAUGCUUAGUGUAACACUUCUUUCCACCUUCUUAUGAAUAAUCAUGUAAAACUCAACAUAAAGAGGGUUUCUCCACCAAUAAUUAAUGCUAUCUCACCCUUAUGAGCAGGCAGCCCUGGAAUUUAUCAGAGUGUACUAUGUAUUCUGCAUUUAAUUUUCAAAAUAUUCUUUUUUUUCUUCAAUAAAUUACUCUAUGCUGUA